rnacentral:misc_RNA from 1 species
GUGAAUCAUCAAAUCUUUGAACGCAAAUUGCACUCUCCUCGGAGAGUAUGCCUGUUUGAGGGUCAGCCUAUAAAAAAUCGACAUCGUUGUUGGUUAUGGGUGACGUUAGUCGGAAAUUGGGUCAUCUUAAAUAUUUUGGGUUUAAGCGAUUUAAAAUUUUAUUUUUGGUUCUAUGAAGGUUUGUAAGAUUUAUUUCUUUACACGUUUAUGGUAUUGAUUUUUAUUGGACGUGAGCAUGAUAGA